rnacentral:rRNA from 1 species
AUUGAACGCUGGCGGCAGGCCUAACACAUGCAAGUCGAACGGUAACAGGAAGAAGCUUGCUUCUUUGCUGACGAGUGGCGGACGGGUGAGUAAUGUCUGGGAAACUGCCUGAUGUAGGGGGAUAACUACUGGAAACGGUAGCUAAUACCGCAUAACGUCGCAAGACCAAAGAGGGGGACCUUCGGGCCUCUUGCCAUCGGAUGUGCCCAGAUGGGAUUAGCUAGUAGGUGGGGUAACGGCUCACCUAGGCGACGAUCCCUAGCUGGUCUGAGAGGAUGACCAGCCACACUGGAACUGAGACACGGUCCAGACUCCUACGGGAGGCAGCAGUGGGGAAUAUUGCACAAUGGGCGCAAGCCUGAUGCAGCCAUGCCGCGUGUAUGAAGAAGGCCUUCGGGUUGUAAAGUACUUUCAGCGGGGAGGAAGGGAGUAAAGUUAAUACCUUUGCUCAUUGACGUUACCCGCAGAAGAAGCACCGGCUAACUCCGUG